rnacentral:sRNA from 1 species
AUUAUAUAAAACCAAAAAUGUUAUGUGGUACGUAUAAUGUUACUAUAUAUAAAAUAUAAAUGUAUUAAAGAAUGAUAUAAUUUGCAAAACUUUUAUCUAUAAAAAAUAAUUCUUAAAUUUUAAAAAUUACUACUUUAAAAAGAAAUCACGGGACGGGUAAAGAAAUUAUAGAACGGGUUUUAUUUUGGAAUUGGGUUAUAUUGUGGAUGUAUUUGAAUCAAUAUUUAUAAAAAAUUAAAAUAUUAUUAAUAUGCUGUUUUAAUAAGGGUUACAACUUCAGUUUUUUAACAAUUGUCUCAUAGAUUCGUGGUAUAGCUUUACUUAAUAACAAUUAUAAACUGUAAAAUAUAAAUAUUUUAUAAAAAUAAAAUUUACAAAUUUUAAUAUAUAUUAUUUUUAAAAAAUAAAUCGUCCCGUUAAAAUCUAGUAUUACUAUAUUACAACACACAAACCACAUGACAUAUUAGAGUCAGUUAAAAUAUUGUCCACGAUUUCU